AUGACCUGUGGUUAGGAGUGAUAGGCUAAUCAAGCAUGGUGAUAUCUGGUUCUCCCCGAAAUAGCCUUAGGGCUAGCGUCAAUCAAGAUACUGAUUGGGGGUAGAGGACUGAUGGAGCUAGGGGACCUACCGGUCUACCAAACUCCGUCCAACUCCGAAUACCGAUCUGCGUAAAUUGGCAGUCAGACUCCGGGGGAUAAGCUCCGGGGUCAAGAGGGAAACAGCCCAGAAUACCGUCUAAGGUCCCAAAUCUAUGCUUAGUUAAUAAGGAGGUUGGAGUGCGAAGACAGCCAGGAUGUUAGCUUAGAAGCAGCCACCAUUUAAAAAGUGCGUAAUAGCUUACUGGUCGAGCAUUCCCGCGCCGAUAAUUAACGGGAAUAAGCAUGGAACCGAAGACGUAUCAUUGAACAUUUCGUUGAUUUGUUCAUUGGGUAGGGGAGCGCUCCAAAGGAGAUACAAGCCGUAUCGAGAGGUCCGGUGGCGGCCUUUGGAGGUGAUUCUGCGGACACGAGUAGCGAUAAAGAGAGUGAGAAGCUCUCUCCCCGUAAGCAUAAGGUUUCCUGGGCCAGGUAACUCCGCCCAGGGUUAGUCAGGACCUAAGACGAGGCCGGUAGGCGUAGUCGAUGGAAAGCCGGUUAAUAUUCCGGCACCACUAGAAAGCGUUGAAACUCAGCAUAACUCAGGUAGCCAAGGUCGGGAAAGCCGUUAGCUGGCUUCUCCAAGUUCAAACGCCGUUGAAACCCGGUGAAAACGGGUCGAGGCCGAAGGACGAGUGCGAUGGAAGUGAAAUUCCAGAGGCGAUCACAGCUAGACUGACGAGAAAAGUGUUGUGACACAUAGCCCAAUAGUGCCUGUACCACAAACUGACACUGGUAUGCGAGGCGAGUAGCCUAAGGGGCUCGAGAUAACUCUUGUGAAGGAACUCGGCAAAUUUGCUUCGUAACUUCGGGAUAAGGAGCGCCCGCGUAGUGGCGUUAAAGCCACGAAGGGCCGCAGAGAAAUGGGCCAGGGAACUGUUUAUUAAAAACACAGGACUGCGCAAAGUCAAAUCGACGAAUGCAGUCUGACGCCUGCUCUGUGCCGGAAGGUUAAGGGAAAUUGUCAGGGGGUCCGCCUCCAAAGCAAUGAACCGAAGCCCCGGUUAACGGCGGCCGUAACUAUGACGGUCCUAAGGUAGCAAAAUUCCUUGUCGGGUAAGUUCCGACCUGCAUGAAUGGCGUAAUAACCUGGUCACUGUCUCCACAAGAGGCUCGGCGAAACUGUAGCAGUGGUGAAGAUGCCACUUACCCGCGACUAGACGGAAAGACCCUGUGGACCUUCACUGUACUCUAUUAUUGGGUUUUUGCAUUCAUUACGUAGGAUAGGUGGGAGACUGCGAAGUUCCCGUUUCGGCGGGAAUGGAGUCGCCGGUGAAAUACCACCUUUUGUGUGUGAAAAUUCUAACUCGGAUCCAUGAUCUGGACUGAGGACCGUGAUAGACGGGCAGUUUGACUGGGGCGGUCCCCUCCC
rnacentral:rRNA from 1 species